UUUCAUCCAUGUCAACCAUGAAAGACAGGGUUGAUCUCAGCCUGAGGUAGAGAUGGAUCCCCAUCCAUGUACCUUUGCUCAACUGUCCUCAGACCAGAUCCAGAAUUCACCCUGCUGUUUCUCCAUGAAUCUGACCUGCAUCAACUGCCUCUCUUAUUCUGGGAUUCCAGUUGUGGAGCUCAAGGACAAGUCCGUUCUGGGCUGACUGUAUCCAACUUCUUUAGUCCAACUAUAUCCCCACUGGAAGCCAGGCUCUUGCCAGCAGCUUUCACCACAUGCCUCUUUCUAUGUUUGUUAUCUGUCUCUAGGUUCUGGUAACUACUUCCUUCCCUUGCCCCUUCUGGCCUAGGGUACCACAAAUCCCUCCUCCCAAUCCAACUGUCACUAGCCUCAGAGUACUUGUAGCUUCCUCACCUUACCUUCACCCUAAUAAAUAGUCCCCUACUAUCUCUCUUCAAAGCACCCAAUUUGAGUGUGCCAUCUGUUUCUUGCCAGGAUCCUGGUUGAUACAUCAACCAAGCUGCACAGAUGGAGGAGCACUGUGCUGAACUUUAGGAAUGAAGCCACAGGGCCCUCACUGCCCCCAUAGUCACUUUGGUCAUCUUCUGCUUCCCUGAAAGACUAAAUUCAGUUAGUUCAGGUACAUACAUAUCCGGACAUGUCAGGGAAAACUCCGUUUUGUAAGGAUCUCUGCUUAAAAUGCCAAAGGUUUGAAAGUUGGCAAACACUUGAGAAAAGCACAGUUCUCCAUCUUACUCUUCCUCUAAACUUGGAGAUAAAUGCAUUUUUAAAAUUUUGCAUAUUAGAAUGCUAAAGUGUACA
rnacentral:lncRNA from 1 species